AUUAGCUCAGGAGAAAUAGAAAAGUAUUUUUCCUUUUACUGUUCAUUGUCUUCCUCCUUGCACCGCCAUAGCCAUCACAAUCAUCGGUCAAGGUUGAACCGAUCCUCGGCUGAGUCCUAUUACUGGUAUCUCCCACCAUCUUGGUAUCCCUUCCGUUUUAUGCCUUGACCCAAUCCAAACACUCGCAUCUCCGUUAUGGAAUCUCGCAUGUCUGCCAUUGAAUCCACCCCUGCUAAUCUUCCCACUCUCUUCGCCGAAGCUAUCGACCAUGCCUUCGAAACUCGAAUACCAAUGUAUUUCGAGCAAUUCUGGCGGGAGCAAAGUGUUCGUAGAGGGAGCGAUGCUUCAUCGGCUUAGCACCACGCCGAUAACCAAGUUUCUCGUGAAAUCGAUCAGAUCCAGGCGCCCCGUAGCCCUCACAGCUCAACUGGAGCUCAUUCCCCACGAUCGGCGUGGUCUCCUCGCAUCCAGAUGGUGAGAUCCUUCAAUAGUCUCAUGCUGCGAGGACUUCACUCGAGCAUUGUGCAGAGAAUUCGGGCUCUCUGAGUUUGAAGAUGGUGUUAAAGCACUCUUCAAACUUCCCCAAACAGUUCUUGGAGUCCAAUGGCUUUCUACAAUUAGUCCGGCCUUAUGGGAUUUCCAAAAGCUGAUUAUGGAAUUCACAGGGCACCCAAAGCAUUACAAACUGACAAAUUCACCAUCUCCAAGGCCUCUAAUCCAGGAUGUAGCCCUGCAACAUCUCGAUAAGAAGAUUUGCAACUCUAUUUUGGGAUUCUUCCUCUGUUCACUGGAAACUCAAGGGUUACCUUUCAGUGACGUAACUCCCAAGCAACUGCAAGAAUUACAUUCUCUUCUUGGAGAAUUUAAUGAGCUUUUUGUGAUACCACCCCAUCCACCUCCCUCCAGGAUUCAUGAUCACCAUAUCCCUCUGUUACCUAGUGACAAAUGUGUUUUAAUGUUUUGAAGUAAUAUUUAUGUGGCAA